rnacentral:rRNA from 1 species
CGUAGGGGGCGAGCGUUGUCCGGAUUUACUGGGCGUAAAGCGCGUGUAGGCGGAAGCCUAAGUCCGAUCUGAAAGCCCCCGGCUCAACCGGGGAUCCGGACCGGAAACUGGGCUUCUUGAGGACGGCAGGGGAGUGUGGAAUUCCUGGUGUAGCGGUGAAAUGCGUAGAGAUCAGGAGGAACACCCAUGGCGAAGGCAGCACUCUGGACCGGACCUGACGCUGAGACGCGAAAGCGUGGGGAGCGAACGGGAUUAGAUACCCCGGAAGUCCACGCCGUAAACGACGGUCACUAGGUGUCUCGGGUAUCGACCCCUGAGGUGCCGCAGUUAACGCAUGAAGUGACCCGCCUGGGGAGUACGGCCGCAGGGUUG